GAGUGGUUAGCAGUCUAUUUUUGAGACGUAAGAAGUGAAGAUCAGACGUCUUCUCCAGUAACUCACCUUUAGCCAAUCAAAGCACAGAAUCAUAGUUUCUGCCUGGGCCAUGGUCCUGCCUCCCUCUGGCUGUCUGAGCAAACCGGCGAAGAGGGCACUGACUCGGAAAUCUGGCAGCGGAGGAUGGUGGAGAGACCACUGGACGUGUCAAGUGGCUGGUCCAAAUUCCAGCUCUGUCAGCUCCUGGCUCUUGGUCCGUGGGAGAGCUUGAAAUAAUCUCAAUUUUCCUGUUUGUAAGAAAAUAAAAUAAGGAACUAGUACAUCCGUUUAAGGGUUGUUGGGAGAACUAAAUCAAAUAAUGUGUGCGAGAGCAUUUCACAUAGAGCUUCGUAUGUAGUCUUAAUAAAUAUUGAAGUUUAAAACUCUAGUGUCAGGCCUCUGAGCCCAAGCCUGCACAUAUUCAUCCAGAUGGGCUGAAGCAAGUGAAGAAUCACAAAAGAAGUGAAAAUGGCCGGUUCCUGCCUUAACUGAUGACAUUACCUUGUGAAAUUCCUUCUCCUGGCUCAUCCUGGCUCAAAAACUCCCACACUGAGCACCUUGUGACCCCCGCCCCUGCCAGCCAGAGAGCAACCCACUUUGACUGUAAUUUUCCUUUACCUACCCACAUCCUAUAAGACGGCCCCACCCCAUCUCCCUUCGCUGACUCUCUUUUCAGACUCAGCCCGCCUGCACCCAGGUGAAAUAAGCAGCAUUGUUGCUCACACAAAGCCUGUUUGGUGGUCUCUUCACACGGACACAUGUGGAAUCUAGAAUAUUAGAUAGAGUGCUUUGCAAUUUCCAACUGAAGUGGGUUUUCAGUUUCCUUAUUUUUGACGAAUUAGCACCACAGCAAUUAAUAUUAAAAUCGAUGUGAUCGCAUAUCUCCUUUAGGGUACACAAUUAGCUUAAGCCAUCUUAAAUGCCAAGAGACUGAGCAAAUCUGAAACCUUAUUUAAAUUAAUAUUAACACGUGCCUAUAAAGUGGUGAUGUAGAGUGAUAAGGGUAGAAUUUGGAGUCACGUAAAACGGGUUUGAAUUGCUAACAGCUUGACCUUGCACGAGCCAUUAGUUUAUCUUCCCAGUGUCCUUAUUUACAAUGUCUCUGUCAGGAAAGUAUGUCACAUAUUUGUAAAAAGAAUUAAGUUACAUAAUUCAACUAAUGUAGAAUCUGUUACACAGUAAGCACUUAAUAAAUGCUAGUUUUCAUAUAUGCAUGUAAAUGACCAAUUAAAAAUAUACAUCGAGAGAGUGUUGUGUAUGUGUCCAUGUGCAUGCGCUUCUCUGUCCCACUUUUAUUCAGUUCUCAUUUCUACCAUUCCAAUAUAGCUUUGUCUUUUUCUCCCACUGAAAUUGUGUGUCCACUGGUGUGACUGCUGUUUAAUGGCUUGACGUCAUGGAAGGCAUAACCUGCUGUGGCAUCUCAGCUCUGCCUUUUUCCAAAGGAUACCAUUUCCUCUGCCUUCCACUCUAUUACUCUGCAUCCCUAUCUGAAAUUUCUUCUUCUUUCUGAAAUUCCGCCCCACUUUGUCAUGCCCGUCUUUAAAAGGUAGAUUUAAAAUGGUUGUAUACAUGAGAAACCAGACUUUG
rnacentral:lncRNA from 1 species